UGGGAAGGGACUUAACAAUUUCAGCGUCAAGGGAUGUAUGCUGGGUAGUCCUGGGGAGUAAGGCUAUGCAUCUCUAAAUUUCAGCAGAAAUGCUGUUUUAAAGCGGCACAGACCACUGCUAACUGUAUGCCUGAGAGACCCCAUGGAGAGCGGGAACACCAGAUGUGCACCAGCCCCACCAGCUUCUGGCUUCUUGGACAGAGGGGAGCUGUAAGAUCUCUCCCAGGACUUCCAUGGGCAUCACAGACUGCACUGGCACCAAGCUGGGGUGCAGAGCCUUAGGAGGUAUUCUAUAGCUUAGCAAGAACAGAAAGGCUUGCUCCAGUUUCACAUGGAUGUACUCAAGCAGCCGGAUCCUUCUGCUCUGUCCUAAUUCCUUGUGUUGCAGAUAUCCUGCAGAUGAUGGCAACAGAAAAUGAAAGUUUUCUUUCUAAGCCUCAGUAAACACGUGCAGCAGAGGCCAGGAAGAAAAGAACGGCUUGAUUUUAAACCACUGCUGGUGGAAUCUAAGCUGCUGGAGAUAUGAAUUAUUUUGGCUACACGUACAGCCUGUCAUGCAUUCCAAUCUGCCUUCCUUCUCAGCCUUCAGCGACUGUGGCACAACAAUUAGCUCCAUUAUCUGCAAUGGGACACAAGAUGCAGCCUCUGCAUUUCCACAUCAAGACACCGACAGCCAAUGCCUUGAUCCGACAUGUUCUGUUCAAGGACAGCUUGCAAGACAGCGUCUUGUCUCACACACCGUGAUAUGAGGUCUUCAUCCAUGGUUGAAAUACAGGAAAUGCUGAGAUGGAAAGGCAGUGCCAGAGCUGUGAAGGCCUCUCGCAGUCCGUUGUGUUGUAAACUGGGAGAAAACUCAGCAGGGACAGCUCAUCUGAACUUCCUGAGGGAUUCUGAAUUUAGCCCUUCGCUCAGUAGUGUCACUUCAUAUGAGUAUAAUGGAAAUGGAUCUGGACUCUCCCUUCACUUUUUAUAGUAAAGCUCUUAUCUUGAUCUGUAGCAGCCCAGCCAAGAAAAGACACUGGAAGACCUCAUGGGCAUGGUCUCACGUCUUCAGGUUACAGGCGUGCAGCUCCAUCCACUUGUAGCAGCAUUCCUCCAGUGCUAUCAUGAGAUUCACUGGUGAUGUUCUGUAAAUGCCAGCCAAAAUCUAUCUGCAAGAACAUCUGCUCAACAGUGCAAAACUGAUGUAAUUACCAACCAUCAUCUUUUAUCCUCCUGCUGGGGCAACUGCUCCAAAGCAUGACUUUUUGCCCUGAGCUAACAAGAUCCAGAGGCUCGCUGCUAUGUACAAAUCCCGCCGCUGAAAACUAACAUGGCUGAUACACAAAUUCUCACAGGAUCUUUCAGCUGCGAGGGGUAACACGUACCCAAACAAGCUUCACCGUGGUCAGUGGAGGAGCCCCAAACUCAGGAUACCCGCAACACACACCUGGAAAUACUGCAGCAUGGGCAGAGAAGUGAAGGUAUUUGAAAGGAGACCAGAAAGGACUGCGUGGGCUCUAGGGCUUCAUGCACUGGAUAAGCAGCCCCAAGUAUUUCAAGGUUGCACUCAACUGCCUGGACAGGAACCCGAAGUCUGCUGUCAGUGCCUUUGCUGAGAUCACGGGAGAGUAACGGGAGACAAAGAUCAAUCUGCACCCCAGCUGCACGAUGCUGGCUGCCAGGGGGGAUGCAUGCACUGGGCUGACAUCAAGAGGUGAGCAGGGCACGCACCUGUGUCAUACACUGGUCUGACUUCACUGACCGGAAAGGAGGAUGGAGCCUGAAAAUGUAAAUGGAGCAACGAAUAGGACAAGGAAAAGAAAGCAAGCAGGCAAGAAUGAAAAACAGAACUAGCUAAAUAACUGGCAGUGUUUCGGGAGAAGCCCAUCCUAUCGCAGAGAGCGACAACAGCCUCGGUAUUAUGAUUUAUGGAGUGCUGGUGUCACUCUAACAAGCUGAAGGACACACAAUAUCAUCUCCAACAUCAUUAAAAUUCAGAAGCCUCUAGAACUAACUCAUCAACCACCGCGCAUUGUCACACGCUAUGGAGCUGAGCUGUUCCCCACUUGGAAAAUGCCUUCCGGACAGUCGUCAUCCUGAAUCAUCUGAUUAAAAGGAUACAAAGAGAAGGAACGGAAAGGAAAGGGGGAAAGAGAGAGAAGCCAAACUCCACGGACAUUCUGGAAAUGAGGGACCUGCAACGGUUUCAUUCCCAUAGCAGAGCGGUGCUAUUAGUUCCUAUCACCUACAACAAAAUGAGUUCUCUGCCUUCUUCUGUUGCUGGAAUACGGGAGGCCCAAAAAGCAGGAGGUCUCCUGGAAAUAGCUGCUCCGUUCAAACCGCAGCUAUGAGGCCGCGACACGAUAAGCAAAAGCCGUGCAUUACUUUAGCUCAUGCUGUACCACGAAACUUCUAUUUUAUUGAAGUUCGGCUGUGCGCUCUGCCUCAGACCGCAGCUGUCCCUCCAUCCCAGGCGCCCGUUCUCCCUCCUUUUCCGCAGAAAAAGGCCAAACCCGCGCUCCCGGCACCGCGGUCCCACAAAGGCUAAAGCAGAACGGAUGCGGAUCCGGCCGCCUCCCUGAGCCCCGGCCCGGCCCCGCGCCCCCCG
rnacentral:lncRNA from 1 species